rnacentral:rRNA from 1 species
CUGGCGGCAGGCCUAACACAUGCAAGUCGAGCGCACUCUUCGGAGUGAGCGGCGGACGGGUUAGUAACGCGUGGGAACAUACCCUUUUCUACGGAAUAGCCUCGGGAAACUGAGAGUAAUACCGUAUACGCCCUUUUGGGGAAAGAUUUAUCGGUGAAGGAUUGGCCCGCGUUUGAUUAGAUAGUUGGUGGGGUAAUGGCCUACCAAGUCUACGAUCAAUAGCUGGUUUGAGAGGAUGAUCAGCAACACUGGGACUGAGACACGGCCCAGACUCCUACGGGAGGCAGCAGUGGGGAAUCUUAGACAAUGGGCGCAAGCCUGAUCUAGCCAUGCCGCGUGAGUGACGAAGGCCUUAGGGUCGUAAAGCUCUUUCGCCAGGGAUGAUAAUGACAGUACCUGGUAAAGAAACCCCGGCUAACUCCGUGCCAGCAGCCGCGGUAAUACGGAGGGGGUUAGCGUUGUUCGGAAUUACUGGGCGUAAAGCGUACGUAGGCGGAUUGGAAAGUAUGGGGUGAAAUCCCAGGGCUCAACCCUGGAACUGCCUUUAAAACUGUUAGUCUUGAGAUCGAGAGAGGUGAGUGGAAUUCCAAGUGUAGAGGUGAAAUUCGUAGAUAUUUGGAGGAACACCAGUGGCGAAGGCGGCUCACUGGCUCGAUACUGACGCUGAGGUACGAAAGUGUGGGGAGCAAAC